AUGCCCGAGCCCGCCAAGUCGGCUCCGGCCCCGAAGAAGGGCUCCAAGAAGGCGGUGACCAAGGCGCAGAAGAAGGACGGCAAGAAGCGCAAGCGCAGCCGCAAGGAGAGCUACUCGGUGUACGUGUACAAGGUGCUGAAGCAGGUGCACCCCGACACGGGCAUCUCGUCCAAGGCCAUGGGCAUCAUGAACUCGUUCGUCAACGACAUCUUCGAGCGCAUCGCGGGCGAGGCGUCCCGCCUGGCGCAUUACAACAAGCGCUCGACCAUCACGUCCCGGGAGAUCCAGACGGCCGUGCGCCUGCUGCUGCCCGGGGAGCUGGCCAAGCACGCCGUGUCCGAGGGCACCAAGGCCGUCACCAAGUACACCAGCUCCAAGUGAGCCCGCCGGCAGCUGACCGCAACCCAAAGGCUCUUUUCAGAGCCAUCCACCAUUUCUAAGAAAGAGCUUGUUCGCUCUUUAGCUUUGGUAAAAAGUAGAAGUGGACGUUAG